CAAUGGAUAAAGUACUCACUGGAUAUUGAACUGUAAGCGACACAGAGGUAAAAGCUAAGGGGUAGUGAAAUGAUGAAGGGCCCAAAGGUAACAGAUCAAAGGACUGUGGGCUGAAGCCUCUGAAUCCAUGAACUAAGGUGAGGUAUUCAGAAGAUAUCAGGCUGGGAGGAGACAGCAGGAAACUGAAAGAGUCACUCAGCAUGGGAUUGGAAGUCCAGAAUGGGAGUCGCUCACUUGGAGGUGUCGUUCAUGUGGUAAGUUGUCACUAGUCUGCAAAUGAAGCCUUAAGUCAUCAUAUUUUUGUUAAAUAUCCUCAUGGUGGGUGAUUUUGGACACUGGUCCUUGCAAAGCAACUUCCACAUAUUUUUGAUGAUGUCUCACACAUAGGCAACCAGUCCCGUUUGUUCUUUCUUGCUGCUUAACCCAUGCUGCUGCCAGUGAUUCCUGGAAAGGACCGGCCCUUGGACCCACCCCUACAUCACCAGUUCUACACCAAACCCCUUUGUGGACUCAACCAACACUUCUCUGGACUCUUCACAGCCCUGCAAAGACUGAGUUGGAAUUAACGAUCACCAGGUCUUUGGGUAUAAUGAAAUGAAGUGUGUAUAAGACAGAAACUCAUAGCACCUUUAGAUGAGGCUUCUCUGAGAUCUCCGGCUCAUGACUGUUCUGGGGCCUUAAAAGGGCCAUUUCCUUCCUGCAUAUGGCAGGGAACAGCCCUGACCUAUCUGCAAAACGAUCCACAUUUUACAGUGCUGGAAAAGGGAAAAGAAUUUUCUUUCCCUUCAAGUCUGUGGCUACCUCUCCUCCUUCACUCAACCAGAAUCUGCCUCUUUCUAGAAUGAGAGGAAGUGGGCAGCCCUGUCAGAGAAAUCUGUCUGCCUUAUUCCUCGUCCCACCACUCACUUUGUGGUCUGGUCCUAUCUUCUCAAAGUUUGGUUUAUCCAUUCUUGAAUACCAUAAAAAGAGAAAGGCCACAAGCCUAUUCCAUUCCUUCCCAUGGUCUUUUCUGCAGUGAACUGAUCGUGCAGCAAUCUGCUCUGUCCUGUAGAUCUCUGCAGUUAGUCUUCUACAAUUCUGAAAGAGAAAAGAUCCACUUAUUGCAAAGCAACAAAAAAAAAAUCUGCAGAGAUCAAUCCAAUUCUCAGCAGUGACCAUGUAGAGAAUUCAUCUGAUUUAUCUCAAAA